GUGAGGAAUAUUGGUCAAUGGACGAGAGUCUGAACCAGCCAAGUCGCGUGAAGGAAGACGGUUCUAUGAAUUGUAAACUUCUUUUGUGCAGGAAUAAAGUGGGUUACGUGUAACCUUUUGUAUGUACUGUACGAAUAAGGAUCGGCUAACUCCGUGCCAGCAGCCGCGGUAAUACGGAGGAUCCGAGCGUUUCCGGAUUUAUUGGGGUUAAAGGGUGCGUAGGUGGAUUGAUAAGUCAGCGGUGAAAGUUUGCAGCUUAACUGUAAAAUUGCCGUUGAAACUGUCGGUCUUGAGUGCAAAUGAGGUAGGCGGAAUGUGUUGUGUAGCGGUGAAAUGCUUAGAUAUAACACAGAACUCCGAUUGCGAAGGCAGCUUACUGGGAUGCAACUGACACUGAUGCACGAAAGCGUGGGUAUCAAACAGGAUUAGAAACCCCGGUAGUCC
rnacentral:rRNA from 1 species